AUUUUUUGUUAAUAUACAUGUAAUUUUAUGACUACUGUUUAAUAAUCUCACACUAAUGUAUUGUAAGAAUCCUCUGAAAUUUAUUUAAUGGUACCUUCACCCUGCUGCAUGUUAGAUCAGCUCUGUGUUUUAUUGUUUGAUUUCAGCACUUCUGGGGACCAGUUAUUAAUUGGGGUCUUCCCCUAGUCGCAGUCAGCGAUAUGAGGAAGAGCCCCGACAUCAUCAGCGGUCGAAUGACCUUCGCUCUUACCUGUUACUCAAUGAUAUUUAUGAGGUUCUCAUACCGAGUCCAGCCCCGAAACUGGCUCCUUUUUUCUUGCCACAUGGCCAAUGUGACGGCACAAGUGAUCCAGGGAGGCCGGCUCAUCCGACACAAAAUGCAGAACAAAAAUGCGAAAUGAGCCUUUGCAUGCAGUAGAUCAGAGCACAGACGGGUUCGUGCAGAUAAAGGCAAAUUGAGGAAGAUCUCUACCAGAUCCAUGCAUCAGAUCAGGAGAGCAGCUGCUAAAAUGCCAUUAUGUAGCAGCAAACAGAUAUUUGAAGCUGCUGGUGCCUCUGGAGUCCCAUGGACAUCAAGGUGUAGAGUCCUCCACUGCAACUGUGCAUAAACCUUCUAUUCUGCCGCCACUAACCAGUGCUCACAAGCAGAAACUGUCCAAAUACACAAGUUCAAUGGAUGCAAGACUUGUGAAGCUGCUAUCAAAUAAGGAGUCCUAUGUCAAAAUGUGACGUGACCUGUUUGAUUUCAGUACAUAUGUUGCAAACACAACAAAUGACAAUUUUCAGUUCUUUGCAACUUAUAAAGUGUUUUGCAGCUUACUGUGCAUAAUAAUUUGGAACAGUUCAUUGUAAGUGUUUUGUUUGACAAAAAAAUACUGUAAUCAUUAGAUUUGUUCAAUAAAAUUUGAAUUGCACUCAAUAGUUGACAACAUGAGAA